UACGGGGGGGGCAAGCGUUGUUCGGAAUUACUGGGCGUAAAGGGCUCGUAGGCGGCCAACUAAGUCGGAUGUGAAAUCCCCAGGCUUAACCUGGGAACUGCAUCCGAUACUGGAUGGCUUGAAUCCGGGAGAGGGAUGCAGAAUUCCAGGUGUAGCGGUGAAAUGCGUAGAUAUCUGGAGGAACACCGGUGGCGAAGGCGGGUCUCUGGGCAAUAACUGACGCUGAGGAGCGAAAGCGUGGGGAGCGAACAGG
rnacentral:rRNA from 1 species